rnacentral:lncRNA from 1 species
UUCUGCAACAAUUCAAGGAACUAGGCUAAACUAUAUUUCUGAGGCAAUUAGUAACGUCGUAAAAGAAAUGUAGUAUAUGGAGAAUCAUUAACAUUCCCAAACAUAGAGAGUUAGCCUCACAUAUGUAAACUUCUUGCUCUUGAACAUAAUACAACUUCUCUAACCUUUGCAACUUUAAUUUAUAUCAAUACAAGUCAAUUGGGAUCACAUUCUCUAACCUUUGCAACUUUAAUUUAUAUCAAUACAAGUCAAAGGGAUCCCAAAUUAGCAACAAUAGUCAUGUUUUGGUCACUUAGGUAUUUUAUCAAACACUUGGUGGCAAAAAACUUCAUAACCCUUAUUAAUAGUGUUUCCACACCCAAAACCCCAUUCUCUUUCUUCUAGAUAAAUUCUAAAGUCACAAAUGAUUAUAAUUCGCAUUAAUGUUUUUCAAUCAUAAGGUAAACAGUAUCCUUAACUAAUAAUCAACAAUGAACACACCAAACCUAUAAUCGUUCAUGCUUUUCUAUCAAACCCAUCAACUCAAAUUUCAUGAACUAGAGUCUAUAAUAA